UACGUAGGGGGCAAGCGUUGUCCGGAUUUAUUGGGCGUAAAGAGCGUGUAGGCGGCCUUACAGGUCAGCUGUGAAAACUCGAGGCUCAACCUCGAGACGUCGGUUGAAACCGUAUGGCUAGAGUCCGGAAGAGGAGAGUGGAAUUCCCGGUGUAGCGGUGAAAUGCGCAGAUAUCGGGAGGAACACCGGUGGCGAAGGCGGUUCUCUGGGCCUUACCUGACGCUGAGGAGCGAAAGCGUGGGGAGCGAACAGG
rnacentral:rRNA from 1 species